GAUGAACGCUGGCGGCGUGCCUAAUACGUGCAAGUCGAGCGAACGGACGAGAAGCUUGCUUCUCUGAUGUUAGCGGCGGACGGGUGAGUAACACGUGGAUAACCUACCUAUAAGACUGGGAUAACUUCGGGAAACCGGAGCUAAUACCGGAUAAUAUUUUGAACCGCAUGAUUCAAAAGUGAAAGACGGUCUUGCUGUCACUUAUAGAUGGAUCCGCGCUGCAUUAGCUAGUUGGUAAGGUAACGGCUUACCAAGGCAACGAUGCAUAGCCGACCUGAGAGGGUGAUCGGCCACACUGGAACUGAGACACGGUCCAGACUCCUACGGGAGGCAGCAGUAGGGAAUCUUCCGCAAUGGGCGAAAGCCUGACGGAGCAACGCCGCGUGAGUGAUGAAGGUCUUCGGAUCGUAAAACUCUGUUAUUAGGGAAGAACAUAUGUGUAAGUAACUGUGCACAUCUUGACGGUACCUAAUCAGAAAGCCACGGCUAACUACGUG
rnacentral:rRNA from 1 species